UACGGAGGAGGCAAGCGUUAUCCGGAAUUAUUGGGCGUAAAGAGCUCGUAGGCGGUCUGUCGCGUCUGCUGUGAAAACUCAGGGCUUAACCCUGAGCUUGCAGUGGGUACGGGCAGACUAGAGUGCGGUAGGGGAGACUGGAAUUCCUGGUGUAGCGGUGAAAUGCGCAGAUAUCAGGAGGAACACCGGUGGCGAAGGCGGGUCUCUGGGCCGUAACUGACGCUGAGGAGCGAAAGCAUGGGGAGCGAACAGG
rnacentral:rRNA from 1 species